GACAUAUAUUGAACAGAUUUGAUUAAACACUGAAAACAAUGAUGUAGAUUAGCCACUGCAGUUUUCAUGCGUAUAGGAUCCAGUUCCCAAAGGAGAGAUUAGGUAGUGAUGGAAAAAUCUGGAUGUAAGCUAUCUUUGUGAAUUUAAGAUUAAAUAAAUCACAGCUCCCUGAGCUGAGUCAGCUCUGCGUGCCAACACUUUCCUUCAUGUCCAUGUUUGCUUCAGGUCUAAUCGAGUUCCAUGCUGGAGGUGGGGGGUGCAGGUAGGAGAAUAAAUUGCUUAUUUAUUGAGGUGUAGGAAACUUAUUAUGGCUACAGUGUGAAGACAGAUUGGCUGGUCCACUGUGUGGUCACCUCAAGAACAUUCGUCUAUUCUGAAGGACAUUGAAAGAAGUCCGGAACAGUUCUUUGUCUGUAACUAUUCAAGGUAGUAAUUGUAGUGGCAAUGGAGGGCUUACUGUGACCAUAGGCUCUCUAGACAUCUGCUUCACUGUUGUUCCAUAUUUACAAGACUAUUAAGGGACUAACCACUGGUGUGAUGUCGGCUAUAACAGCUUUUUUCCUCUAGGUCAGAUAAGCUUAGAGUGCACUGGGUCACUAUUUGUUUUUUAGUUCAGUGUUGAUCUAGUAAUCGCUGCUUUAGAGAACAAAGUGCAACAUUAUAAACGAUACUGUGAGUUCUUUAACAAUUAAUGGGGAAAUAUACUGCACUAAAAUGAACUUUUUCCUUGUAGACUGUGUUUACUGAAUUGAAAAUGUUGAUGUACGUCUAAAAAUGUCUUGCUAGUAAACUUGAAAUCUUUGAGAAAAAUGAGUUAAUUAAAUGAGUUGGUCUUGGCAUUGUUGUGUUGUAUGGAUUUCUGAGUUACUGGAACUCACUACCUUUUGUUGAAGGAAGAAAACAGGGUACAUUUGUUCUGGUGAAGUGAACGCUUUGCUAUUUUACUUUUAACACAGAAUCAAUGCUGUCACCUAGAAAUGACAUUUAUAUGGUACUUAAUACUAAAAUGUUAUCUGAAAGGCCGAUUUUAUUGGUUGAUGUUGCAUAGUUUGUCCACUAGAGGGCGCGUCGCAACUUCCCUGUUGGCGGUACUGCCACACACGCAACAAGCAGCAGAUCCAAACAACAUCAGGCAGUGUGUAAAUGAGUAAACAACUACAUAUCAGCUGAUAUGAGUUUAUCAAAUUUAAAUCAGCAAUUUUGACUAUUGGUUUUAAGAAUUAAGAAUUCUAUAUCGUUCAGACGCUUGUAGAUGCUAGGUUGUUUUGUCUUUUUGUUUUGUUUGUCUUUGAAGGAGAAUACAUUAUGGUUAUAUACUAGAAUUGGCAAUCAGAUGUUCAAGGUGAACAGAUGGCAUACAAAACAACAGAAGAGCUAUUUUCCUUUCUGUUUUAGAGCUUUUAGUUGACUGCUGCUCAAACAGCUCUCACCUACAGUCCAAAUAGAAACCAGAGCUAAUAUUUACAUAUAUCAUAUCAGAACUAUAUAAAAGGACUAAUAUGGUCCCUUUAUAUGUAUAGACGCCUACAGCUACUACAUAUAAAAUGUGUUGCUAGAGACUGUGUUUUGCUUCAGUGUAAAAUGACAUUUAUAUGGUACUUAAUACUAAAAUGUUAUCUGAAAGGCCGAUUUUAUUGGUUGAUGUUGCAUAGUUUGUCCACUAGAGGGCGCGUCGCAACUUCCCUGUUGGCGGUACUGCCACACACGCAACAAGCAGCAGAUCCAAACAACAUCAGGCAGUGUGUAAAUGAGUAAACAACUACAUAUCAGCUGAUAUGAGUUUAUCAAAUUUAAAUCAGCAAUUUUGACUAUUGGUUUUAAGAAUUAAGAAUUCUAUAUCGUUCAGACGCUUGUAGAUGCUAGGUUGUUUUGUCU
ensembl:lncRNA